rnacentral:misc_RNA from 1 species
UUCAUUUGCGUUGAAGCUUCCGAAGCUUUGUUGCGGUUUGGUGUGUCUUUUAUUUUUACGUAGAACUCAUAUCGAUCCGAUAUGCCGCGUCCGAGAAUGGAUUUUGCGACUAAUAAGUGGCGAGGCACCACGCGAGCAAGAAUGAACAGCCCUGGAGGUUAUGGGCACUGCUCAAUUGGCUCAUUCCUCGGUGCUUCUCGAAGGCCUGGUCAAGGAGGAGUUGCUCAGUGAACUACUAGUUUGAGUUCCCUGAGACGGACACCACUGACAUCACCUACAGUGCCGAGGUACAGGCUUAAUGGCAGAUAUCAAUAGGAGAUGAUGGUGCUGCCACGGACUUUGGCUCGUGGGGGUGCCGUCGCUACUGACAAAGCCUGUGCUCCCCGUCGUCCCUGUUGAAAUGGUGGCUGGAACUUGGAGAGGGUUUGCUGCCACAGCCGGUCAGUUCAAGUUCCGCACAUUCUGCCGUAGCCCUUGGGAAUUCGUUCCUUCCAUGUUGAGGUUCUAGUAGGAGAAGUCCACCGCUGUUGAGCUACAUGUCACCACAGCAGUCAAUCUGCAGAGGGGCAUGGCCACGUGACCACACUUCUGAAAUGUUAGAGCCUUGUUGUGGACAUGGAGGCCGGUGUGAGAGAUUUAAUAUGCGUCUGGCACAUCUGCCCGGCGAAAGAACUCAUGGGUGUGCCACAUGGAAAGUGAGCAGACUGUGCAAGUCUCUUUUACAAAAUGGCGCUAACAAUAGGUAGUGUCUGCAGUGAUGUGAUUGCUGCGCCAAUUGCGCCAAACUGCGCCAAGGGGCUAACCCUGCUACAUCCUGCCACAUUUUGCCAAAAUAUAGGUAAUCUGCGCCAAGCCUGCGCCAAAGAACCAAUUUUGCUCGCCUUUCAAAACCGAAUCUAAGCUGAGUACUGUAAUGAGCGCACGUAAGCUAGGUGGCACAAGCAGGCACCCGACACAAAGUACUCUGCAUCAAUCGUUCAUCCGGUCUUGCAUGGUUUUUUCCCGCCGUCUCUCGUUUCACGCUCUCGUCCUCUCGUUGUCUCGCGUCUUUUGAAAACUUUUUCAACAAUAGACGCGGGUGUCUGCGGACGCUCCGACACUAGCGUGCUGGGUACCAGCCAUGCCAUCAUGCUGUGAAACGUUUUUGCGCGGCGGGAGUUACUUUGUGAGCUGAAGCACUUGCUCCUGAAAGCAAUGGCCGUGGGAACACUACAUUUGGUAUCUGCCUUCCAGUCGCCGUGGUCGCGCGACGUCGAGUGUUGCCGUCGCCACGUCGCUGCAGAUAUGGCGCUUUCUAAACUGAAACGUAAGGACCGCCCUAACCUUCAUCAACAUUCCUAUUCUUGUUUAAUACGCUACUACAAAAAUCCCUCUAGAUCAAAGACUGCUGUGUCGAAGUACUGUUUGCCUGGGUUUCUCUCGGUAAGCUUUCUUUCGAGGGAGACCCCGGUACGUGAAAAAUCUGCCGCGAGAGAGUUGGUGAAGAGAAGUGAGCUAAAGCAAAGAAUACAAUGUCUGUUACCCUGAACUCGCACAGCGCGCUUGUUUGUCUCGAGUUCAGUCGUUGCGCAAAGCGCUCCAGGAACUUUCUGACCCUGGCUCGUGAUGUCUUGCAUCGAUGUGCUCAGGUUCUUUUUUUGUGUUUAGCUUAUACCUCGCCAGCCGCUCUGGCAAGCACGUGCGGCUGGGUUGUUUUUUUGUCGUAUGCUGGACAGUUACAUUUUGUGUACAAUUUUAGCAACCAGUUGGCGACGGAGCGGAGUGGCAUGGUUUCGAUUGAACAGCUAUCUGCACUCGCGUGACAGUUUUGCAUCGCAGUGCAGUGGUCACGUGGAUCAACAGUUAGAGACUGCUUCUAUUUAUCAUAUAACUAGUCAACCUAAUGCUGUGAUAUUUACUACUAAGCUCGUCACUUUAAAAGAAAUUUUAAUAGAUGCAGUUUUGUUUUUAUUUAUAUACCUAUAGAAGGUACAUAUAUAUGUAUCAUUUUACUGAAGCAUUAAAAUAUGUUUCAUGUGAUUUCCAUUUCAGUUACAUGUUGAAAGACUCCCAGGUGGUCUAACUUGACUAUAAUAUGUUUACUGCGGCGAGCAAAGUGCCCUUCGUUUGUCCAGCACUUGAAACGAAUAUUUUUAUUUUUCUAAGAAUAUCUGCUCCAAAGGCCACAUUUGCUGCUCCAAAACACUGUUUUGGCAGCUUCGAAAGGUGCUCCAAAAUGGCUUAGGGCAAUCACAUCACUGUGUCUGAAUCAUUCUUGUCUUACGUAGGUGAUACUUUCUAGGCGUAAUGUGUUAGUAGAUAGCUAUGGUGUUAUUGCUUAACUCUGAACAAGAUACAAAGUAUGAGACAUUUUCAGGCCAAGUAAAAAAUUUCUGCUCACUUUAAUCUUGAAGAUCUUCCAGAGUUUCACAUCAUCCAGCAAUCCUGAAGGCGAUGCACCACAUGCAAUUAUAAUUAAUAUUCCCGCUCUUAGUUUACCAGGAAGGUGUUCAAAAAAUUGUAAGUAGUGUUAGUUGCUUAGGAGAGCGAUGUGUUGCACCUUGGCGUUCCAUUCACUUUGGGAUGAGGUGCUCCAUUCUUGUGCGUCCUUGGUUGUUUCCGUAGCCCCAAAAGAUGUUGGAGAUUUAUAUGUUUUAUUUUUGGGGAAACCAUGUUAUGUUAGUAUCUGGCAUGCUUCUUUUUUAUUGCUGAAAGCUGUUUGAAGUGAGCCUUUUGUCCACCUAAGAGCAUAAUGAUUGGGAGCAUCACUCAGGUGUGUUUUCUGGCCACACCGCAGAGCAUGAUUGUAAGCAUCGAUGCAUGCUAUUGAUACCAAGAUCGGGACUUCAGAGAGGAUCAGACAAGUCUUCCUAUUUUUAUUUCCAUUGAUUCUUUGGCAUUCUAGAUAUCUUUUUGUAAGCGUGUUCACGUAAGCUUGUUCAACUUUCUGGGUCAUAGUAUCGGGUCGUUCUGUAAUUAUCAUAUGCUUUAUGCAUUUGUCAUUAGUCUCCUCUGAAGUUGUCAUGGGCACAUGGCUGACACAUUUGGUGCUGCUUUGAUUUGGAGGGUAAAUAUUGUCCGCCAUAGGUCUAGCAAACUUCAUAUAUUCUACACUUCAAAAUUUUCUCGUAGACCUGAUUACUAGGCAAUAAGCUCCUUUUCAAUAUGUGCAUUUACUUAAAUUGAAAAGCCAAAAGGCUUUUAAUAAUCAGCCACAUGCAGAAUAAGAACAGUGUUUCUGCCACCUAGUGUGGGAGAAAAUGGGUGGGGGGUGGAGGCCAAAGCAAACGCAAGCAGUGUGAAUACAACUCUAGGACUUAUAUGCGGGGUAAGUGAGGAAUUUGAACUGCCUACCAAGACCAUGUAGCUCACACAUUUAGCAGAGGAUAAUUGGGUUUGAUUUAACAAGCUAUUGGGGUGGUUGUAAAGCUCCUAUACAGCCCCACAUGGAGUCACCCUGCAUGCACUGAUCUAGACUGCUCGUUUCACAUAGAUUUGUGUGACCUAUUGAUCUAACUGCUUCUUUUAUUUGCAAAUUUUUGUGUUAUUCAGGAUAAUUGGGAACCCAGCAAAAGGUUGGCAUGUCAUGGAGUAAACAUGCCAUUGUACAGUGUGCUUUACUCUAAAAUGUAAUGCAUGAGCAGUGGCCAAAGCUGAUGACACUUGUCUAAUGAGGAAAUCAAUGAUACUGCACAAACUGAAGCAUAUCUUCCUGGGACCGUUGUCACUCCCCUAUAGAAUUAUUGCAUGACCUCCUUGUUUUUUUUUUAAUUGCCCUCAGUUAAUUUGACGAGGACUGGAUUGCUGUUAUCCUUAAUAGGUCGGCGUGUCACGUUUAUCUUGAGGUCCAAUUAACGGGAAAUUGGUUUUGAUAAGUUAAAUAAGGGGAACAACAAAAUAUUCAGAGCAAUGUCUUUUUUUUUCUUUCUAUUUUUUGCAUCACCGAAACAUUUAUUGGUCACCGCAUUGAAACUGGGAGUGUAACGCACAAAGAGAACUGCAGUGUGACCCUCCAGUCUCUGCCGUCAGACGAUGCACACAUUCUGCAACGAUCCAGUGUUACAUUCCUGUGGCUUUUUGGUUGUUUCCCAAUUAUUGAAGGGAGUUGCAGGCUUAUCAUGGGCGACACAGUGCUUUGCUCGCACCUUCACGGAGUACAGCAAUGUGGGGAAGCCAGUCGAGGACAGCCUCUCUCGAUUUCUGUCCCGGGGGCGCUAUGCUCUUCCAGCUGACACCUUACAGACAUGUCAGGAAGCAAGGAAAGGUUAUUUUUUCACUGAUCGUUUACAUUUGGGUGAUUAACUUAGUCUUGAAAAAAAACACAUCAUUUUAAUGACAUUGUGAUAAAUAAAUUUUGGGUCUUGAAA